rnacentral:rRNA from 1 species
AUGGCCGACGAGGGGAAGCACCUGGAGACGGGCCGGGCCGACCGCUCCGUCUGGCUCAUGAAGUGCCCGACCAUCGUCUCGCGCGCCUGGCAGGAGGCCGCCGCCGCCGCCGCCGCCGCCGAUGCGGGAGGCCCCAACCCUAACCCUAACCCCGUCGUCGCCAAGGUCAUCCUCUCCUUCGACCCGCUCAGCACCGACGAGGACCCGAACCAGUUCAAGAUGGAGAUGGCUCAAACUAAUAAUGGCAACACACCGAAGAAUUACUCUUUAAAUAUGUUCAAGGAUUUUGUGCCAAUGUGUGUUUUCUCAGAGUCUAACCAAGGGGUAAGACUAGGUUCCUAUAAUCCCUCCCCAGACCCCACCUUGUAUGGGAGCUUCUAUGCACUGGGUAAGCUUGCAUGCGAAGGAAAAGUCGAGCACAAAUUUGACAUGGAACCGCACAAAGAAAACCUUUCAGACUAUGCAAAAUUAUGCCGUGAGAGGACUAAAAAUUCUAUGAUUAAAACAAGAAAAGUGCAUGUACUUGACAAGGAGCAUGUGAACGUGCGCACAAUGAUUAGCAUGAUUGGUGGCGGGCCUCAUUCUGGUCCAAAGGACAAGAAGAAGCCGGCGCCAACCAGAACUCCUGAAGUGAAAAGAACACGCAGGGAUCGUGGGGACAUUGAAAACAUCCUAUUCAAGUUAUUUGAGAGGCAGCCGAAUUGGUCACUGAGGCAUCUAAUGCAGGAAACUGAUCAACCAGAGCAAUUCCUGAAGGAGAUAAUGAACGAUCUUUGUGUCUACAACAAGAGAGGACCGAAUCAAGGGACACAUGAGCUCAAGCCUGAAUACAAGAAGUCUGUUGAGGACACUAGCGCGACCUGA